rnacentral:rRNA from 1 species
GUGGGGAAUAUUGGACAAUGGGCGAAAGCCUGAUCCAGCCAUGCCGCGUGUGUGAAGAAGGUCUUCGGAUUGUAAAGCACUUUAAGUUGGGAGGAAGGGUAGUAACCUAAUACGUUGCUACUUUGACGUUACCGACAGAAUAAGCACCGGCUAACUUCGUGCCAGCAGCCGCGGUAAUACGAAGGGUGCAAGCGUUAAUCGGAAUUACUGGGCGUAAAGCGCGCGUAGGUGGUUCAGUAAGUUGGAAGUGAAAUCCCCGGGCUCAACCUGGGAACUGCUUUCAAAACUGCUGAGCUAGAGUACGGUAGAGGGUGGUGGAAUUUCCUGUGUAGCGGUGAAAUGCGUAGAGAUCGGGAGGAACAUCCGUGGCGAAGGCGGCCAUCUGGACCAGCACUGACACUGAGGCACGAAAGCGUGGGGAGCAAACAGGAUUAGAUACCCUUGUAGUCC